AUUGAACGCUGGCGGCAGGCCUAACACAUGCAAGUCGGGCGAGUGGCGGACGGGUGAGUAAUGUAUGGGAAUCUGCCCGAUGGAGGGGGAUAACUACUGGAAACGGUAGCUAAUACCGCAUACCAUCAGAUGAACCCAGAUGGGAUUAGCUUGUAGGUGAGGUAAAGGCUCACCUAGGCGACGAUCCCUAGCUGGUCUGAGAGGAUGACCAGCCACACUGGAACUGAGACACGGCCCAGACUCCUACGGGAGGCAGCAGUGGGGAAUAUUGCACAAGGGGCGCAAGCCUGAUGCAGCCAUGCCGCGUGUAUGAAGAAGGUCUUCGGAUUGUAAAGUACUUUAAGCGGGGAGGCGUUACCAACAGAAGAAGCACCGGCUAACUCCGUGCCAGCCGCCGCGGUAAUUC
rnacentral:rRNA from 1 species